CGCAUGUCACUGCGUAGGCGCGUUAGAAAUUCCGUGACUUCCGGACCCUUCGUAAGGUAUAAGUAUGGCUGCUUCAGGCUCGUUGUAUCUUUCAAACAAAGGAUAUCUUAUGUUCCUUCUAAUUUAGAAUUCACUGAUGAUUCCAGAUAACUUUUUUUGGUGGAAAGGAGAACCACACUGGAUUUGGCCAUUCACCUGGAAGACGUGUUCAAAAAUACAGUGAAUGCUGCUGGUAAGUCCCAUCUAAGAGAAAGGAAGAGAUUCUCAAUACAAGAAGUAGUUUGUGGAACUUUACAGUGUGACAAGUUUUUUUAACUUGUUCAGUGAGCUACAGUUGAGAAAAGGUGUUUUCGACUCUUCUGUAAAUAAUGGAUCACGAACAACGCAUCAACGUGGAGUUUUGUUUCAAACUACAAAAAACUGCUAAAGAAACACAUGAGAUGUUAAAAUUAGUGUAUGGUGAUGGUGCAGUGACUAUGGAGACAGUUUCUGAGUGGUUUGAACAAUUUCGUAAUGGCUGUGAAUCAGUUGAAGACAAAAAGAAUGUCCUUCAACAUCAAAAACCCAAAAAAAGAUUGAAAGAAUGAGUGAAAUGAUGAGAUCAAACUACAGUUGACUUACGGACAAUUUGGAGGAUCUGAAGGUCUGUUCCAUUCAAAGCAUUUUAACAUUUGAAUAUAAGGAGAGUACCAAAUUUGUCCCACUCUUGACUGCUAACCAAAGCAACAUUCAUUUGUAAUUCUCUUUGGAGCUGUGCACUGUACCAUUUCAGGUUCCAUCAUUUUAGUAAAUGUCAUCAGGGGACAGAAACUUGAGUCUGUGAUUAUGGUGCGGAGACCAAGAUUCCCAGUUUUCAGUGGAAAUCACCCAGGUCGCCCUGUGUAAGAACAGCACAUCAGUCAAGAUCCAACAUCAAGGUGAUACUCUGUUUUUCGACCUUGAUGGAAUUGUGGGAUUUGAGUUUGUAACCAGGAGCCUUGAAAAUUACAAGAGUUUAUUAGAGCAUUUACAAAAUGACUUGUGAAGACAGCCUGAGAAAUGGGUUUAUCCUUCAUCACUGUGGCAAUUCAUGCCAUGUGUCACUUGAUACAGCAAUUUCUGUUUCUUCCUUACUGGAUCUGACACUGCAAAUUCUUGUUCUUCCCCAAAGUCAAAAUGACUGAAAGGUAAACAUUUUCAGUAGAUUAAGAUUACAAAGGUAGCCAGCACACACAACUAAAGACACAAGAGAGGCCAGCCAUAGUGGCGCACGCCUGUAAUCCCAGCACUCGGGAG